GCCCGAAUAGCUCAGUCGGCAGAGCGACGCUCUCGUAAAGCGUAGGUCGUGGGUUCAAUUCCCACUUCGGGCU
rnacentral:tRNA from 1 species